rnacentral:snoRNA from 1 species
GACCUCCUGGGAUCGCAUCUGGAGAGUGGCCAGUGUUCUGCCAGCUUCGGAAACAGGAGGGAGAGCAACCCGGCAGGGCACCCAUUCCAUUCCCAGCUUGCCCCUGUAGCUGGUGACUGGAAGACACUCUGCAACAUCC